CUUUAUGUUUACUCGAUUUGAAUUCGGUGUAAAUUAGAAAACUUCAAUUGGGUCAACUCGAAAUUUUUUAACUUGGUCCAAAUGUAAAACCCAUAAGGGUAAAACUAUCAAAUUGUUUCAAGAAAGAAAGAAAGAAAUUAAGAAGUACGAUGUUUUGGGAUAUUUUACAAUUAUGGGGACGCAAUAGGACAUUAGAGUAAACUAUAGGGAUGAAAAUGGAGUUUACAAGGAUAAACGAGUCUUCUAACGCCAGGGAGGUGUGUGCCCAUUUUGUAUUUCUAGUUGUCUAUGUGAUAAAUUAUCAAACCUCAUGGAGGUGAGUGAUAACAUCCCUUCUAGCGAUAGAAGAAGAAAAAAUAAAAUAACCUUUCAAAUUUUUAAGUCUCUAUCUAUAGUAUCCCCGUGAGCUUUUAGCCAUCCAGCUUGCACCAGAAAUUAUUAAGAAAAAAUUCCGGGUAACCUUAAAUAUUUUUUGUGUUUUUGUUAUUGUCUUUGUGUUUCAAUAAAUAUAAUAAUGUUUUCACUUUCUCCUAAGAAAAAAAUUAUUUGGUAACAAUAACCAAUCUCAUGUCUAUCCAAAUAGACAAUGUGUGUGACGUACAAAAUAAGAUAGGGUAUUAAUAUAUGCAAAAGAAUUUUGGUAUCAUUAUAAAUGUCGUACCCAUAAGACAUAAAAUUUAUAUAAUAUUAAGAGCCAAUUU
rnacentral:lncRNA from 1 species